rnacentral:rRNA from 1 species
AUCGAACGCUGGCGGCAGGCCUAACACAUGCAAGUCGAGCGAGCGGCGGACGGGUGAGUAAUGUAUGGGGACUGCCCGAUAGAGGGGGAUAACUACUGGAAACGGUGGCUAAUACCGCAUACUAUCGGAUAACCCAUCCGGGAUUAGCGAGUAGGUGGGGUAAAGGCUCACCUGGGCGGCGAUCGCUAGCUGGUCUGAGAGGAUGAUAAGCCACACUGGGACGUAGACCGGGCCCAGACUCCUACGGAGGCAGCAGUGGGGAAGAUUGCGCAGGGGGCGCAAGCCUGAUGCAGCCAUGCCGCGUGUAGGAAGAAGGCGUUAGGGGUGUAAAGUACUUUCAGCGGGGAGGCGUUACCCGCAGAAGAAGCACCGGCUAACUCCGUGCCAGCCGCCGCGGUAAUUC